rnacentral:rRNA from 1 species
AUGAACGCUGGCGGCGUGCCUAAUACAUGCAAGUCGAGCGAACGGACGAGAAGCUUGCUUCUCUGAUGUUAGCGGCGGACGGGUGAGUAACACGUGGAUAACCUACCUAUAAGACUGGGAUAACUUCGGGAAACCGGAGCUAAUACCGGAUAAUAUUUUGAACCGCAUGGUUCAAAAGUGAAAGACGGUCUUGCUGUCACUUAUAGAUGGAUCCGCGCUGCAUUAGCUAGUUGGUAAGGUAACGGCUUACCAAGGCAACGAUGCAUAGACGACCUGAGAGGGUGAUCGGCCACACUGGAACUGAGACACGGUCCAGACUCCUACGGGAGGCAGCAGUAGGGAAUCUUCCGCAAAGGGCGAAAGCCUGACGGAGCAACGCCGCGUGAGUGAUGAAGGUCUUCGGAUCGUAAAACUCUGUUAUUAGGGAAGAACAUAUGUGUAAGUAACUGUGCACAUCUUGACGGUACCUAAUCAGAAAGCCACGGCUAACUACGUG